CUGGUAGUAGGUGAGUGAUGGGGUGACGCAGGAAGGUAGUCCAGCCCGGGCGGUGGUUGUCCCGGGGUAAGGGUGUAGGCCGUGCGGUAGGUAAAUCCGUCGCACACAAGGCUGAGACCUGAUGCCGAGCCGAUUGUGGUGAAGUGGAUGAUCCUAUGCUGUCGAGAAAAGC
rnacentral:ncRNA from 1 species